rnacentral:rRNA from 1 species
GACGAACGCUGGCGGCGUGCUUAACACAUGCCAGUCGAACGCUGAAGCUCAGCUUUUGUUGGGUGGAUGAGUGGCGAACGGGUGAGUAACACGUGAGUAACCUGCCCCCUUCUUUGGGGUAACGCCCGGAAACGGGUGCUAAUACUGGAUAUUCACUGGUCUUCGCAUGGGGGUUGGUGGAAAGGGUUUUUCUGGUGGGGGAUGGGCUCGCGGCCUAUCAGCUUGUUGGUGGGGUGAUGGCCUACCAAGGCUUUGACGGGUAGCCGGCCUGAGAGGGUGACCGGUCACAUUGGGACUGAGAUACGGCCCAGACUCGUACGGGAGGCAGAAGUGGGGAAUAUUGCACAAUGGGCGAAAGACUGAUGCAGCGACGCCGCGUGAGGGAUGGAGGCCUUCGGGUUGUGAACCUCUUUCGCUCAUGGUCAAGCCGCAACAAUGGUUGUGGUGAGGGUAGUGGGUAAAGAAGCGCCGGCUAACUACGUG